GGGUUUAAUCCUGGCCCCAGAGUUGAUGGCGAGCUAACCCACAUGAGUUCUUCAGAGAGCACCCUCGUUAAGCACUACUUAAAGGAGGAGCUUUGGCCGCGAGACCUAGACUCUCAGUGGGGGAGAUUAGGGAUUUGGUUGCCCCAGACCUAGUAGCGGGCCGACCAAAUCGGUGCCAGCAGUCGCGGUUAGACCGGGGGCCAACAACUGCGGCGGCGAGUCGACCUACGGGCGAGAGAAGGCCCCGGCUUAAGGUAAAAUUUAAACCCGAGGGCUGUCCGCGAGGACUCCGGUGAGGCUCGGAACCCCGGGGGCGGGACCGGGAUUAGAUACCCCGUUACUCCGGGCAGAGAGGGUAGUAGUAGUUAUGUUCUUCAAACCCAAAGGAUUUGGCGGUGCCCAGUACAGCCAGAGGAGACUGCCGCGUAAUCGUCGCUACGCGCUCAAUCUUACCUGGGGGAGGUUUGUAUACCGUCGUCUCAGCCUCUUAAAAACAGGAGCGCGCCGAGGGGCUACCAGUAUGUCAGAUCAAGGUGCAGCGUUGCUCAGGCGCAGGUGGUCUACAUUAAAGAAACUUGUGGACUCCGAGGGCAGUCAGGACGAAAAUGGAUUUGGUAGUAACCGCGGCAGGGUGACGAAGAGAGAGAAGUA
rnacentral:rRNA from 1 species